AACGAACGCUGGCGGCAUGCCUAACACAUGCAAGUCGAACGAGACCUUCGGGUCUAGUGGCGCACGGGUGCUUAACGCGUGGGAACUUGCCCUUAGGUUCGGAAUAACUCCCCGAAAGGGGUGCUAAUACCGGAUAAUGUCUUCGGACCAAAGAUUUAUCGCCUUUGGAUGGGCCCGCGUUGGAUUAGCUAGUUGGUAGGGUAAAAGCCUACCAAGGCGACGAUCCAUAGCUGGUCUGAGAGGAUGAUCAGCCACACUGGGACUGAGACACGGCCCAGACUCCUACGGGAGGCAGCAGUGGGGAAUAUUGGACAAUGGGCGAAAGCCUGAUCCAGCAAUGCCGCGUGAGUGAUGAAGGCCUUAGGGUUGUAAAGCUCUUUUACCCGGGAUGAUAAUGACAGUACCGGGAGAAUAAGCUCCGGCUAACUCCGUG
rnacentral:rRNA from 1 species